GACGAACGCUGGCGGCGUGCUUAACACAUGCAAGUCGAACGGUGAAGCCCUUCGGGGUGGAUCAGUGGCGAACGGGUGAGUAACACGUGAGCAACCUGCCCCUGGCUCUGGGACAACCACUGGAAACGGUGGCUAAUACCGGAUACGACCCGCCUCGGCAUCGAGUGUGGGUGGAAAGUUUUUCGGCUGGGGAUGGGCUCGCGGCCUAUCAGCUUGUUGGUGAGGUGAAGGCUCACCAAGGCGACGACGGGUAGCCGGCCUGAGAGGGCGACCGGCCACACUGGGACUGAGACACGGCCCAGACUCCUACGGGAGGCAGCAGUGGGGAAUAUUGCACAAUGGGCGAAAGCCUGAUGCAGCGACGCCGCGUGAGGGAUGACGGCCUUCGGGUUGUAAACCCCUUUCAGCUCCGAAGAAGCGAAAGUGACGGUAGGAGCAGAAGAAGCACCGGCUAACUACGUG
rnacentral:rRNA from 1 species